ACGGUGGGCACAGCAGGGAACGCCUCCAACUCCUCGGAUGCAGAGGUGGCCUCGGUGCUCUCCCUCCCCCGGGGACCCCCCCGGCUCCUGGAGCAGUCGUGAUGGCCGUGGUUGCCCAAGCGGCUGGAAGCCACCACGGCUUUCAUGGCAGCCUUCAGUUUCCUCCUGGCGUUAAAUUCCUGCAGCUUCUUUUGCGUGCUGUCCAUGUGGGCAAACUUGGCGGCUUUCC
rnacentral:lncRNA from 1 species